rnacentral:rRNA from 1 species
UUUAACUGAGCGUUCAGUUACUUGACGUAGACCCGAAACCGGGCGACCUACCCAUGAGCAGGAUGAAGCGAAAGUAAAAUUUCGUGGAGGUCCGAACCCACGAGCGUUGAAAAGCUCGGGGAUGACUUGUGGGUAGCGGUGAAAUUCCAAUCGAGCCCGGAGAUAGCUGGUUCUCCCCGAAAUAGCUUUAGGGCUAGCCUCAAGGUGAGAGAUACGGAGGUAGAGCACUGAAUGUCCUAGGGGGUAUUGCACCUACCGAAGACUAUCAAACUCCGAAUGCCGUCAUCUUAUACUUGGGAGUCAGACUGUGGGUGAUAAGAUUCAUAGUCGAAAGGGCAACAGCCCAGAUCGUCAGCUAAGGUCCCUAAAUGUAAGUUAAGUGGUAAAGGAUGUGGGAUUGCACAGACAACCAGGAUGUUGGCUUAGAAGCAGCCACUCAUUCAAAGAGUGCGUAAUAGCUCACUGGUCGAGUGAUCCUGCGCCGAAGAUUUCCGGGGCUAAAACUUACUACCGAAGCUACGGCAUCAGUAAUGAUGGGUAGGGGAGCUUCCCAUACGGGUUGAAGCAUGACCGUAAGGACAUGUGGACAGUAUGGGAGUGAGAAUGUUGGCAUGAGUAGCGAGAUGUGGGUGAGAAUCCCACAGGCCGUAAACCCAAGGUUUCCAGGGGAAGGUU